GGGGAUUUAGCUCAGUGGCAUAAGCACCUGCCUUGCAAGCAGGCUCAAGCGAGUUUAAUCCCCA
rnacentral:tRNA from 1 species